ACGCCGAGCAGCACUGCCGAGGAAGGGGCAAGCGGAGGGAAAUGGGCCCACAAAGAGGCUGAGAAGGAGCAGCCCAGAGAGGCAGGAAGGAAGCAAUGCUGCCUCUUCCAGGAAGGCCUCCUGACCAGCCCCUCUUGCCAAAAGACAAGGGCAGGUCCUGGCUAAAGAACUCACACGUGCUCCCCAUGACGUAAAUUCUGGGAGACUCAUCAGUUUCACGAGGUGAUUAAAGCGAAGAUAAAGGGGUACCAGACAAAGAAACAAGUCAUCAUCUAUGGAGAGAGUGGGUGUUUUGCGGUUGCCCAGUGAUAUUGACUGAAGCGGAUGUUACGUAAGAUUGUUUGCAUCCUGCGGCGGACCGUCCUGACGUGGCGGUGAGCAUCACAUCCAUUCCGUGUAUCCUUUCCCACCAGGUGUGGCCUGCCUCUCCCGCUGCCCCCCUCCCCCCGCAGCACGGUCCUGCGUGGGAUGCAGGGUCCGCCCGUCCAGGAACGCCUGCAGCAGAUCUUGACAUGAGGGGAAAAUAACUUGGAUCACGCCAGACUCUGCAGUGGGCGUUUACCUAUCACGGUACCACCUGAAGUCACCCCCCGUCUGUGCUGUACUCGCUCAGCCCUUGUCCUACCGUGACCCUCCUGGCCCCUUCUCUUCUUCAGGAUACACGUGCCCCAUCCCCCGGGGCCUUCUCCCCCUCCGGCAGUCCUCUGGGGUGUUCUCAGUGGCAGGCAAACCUGCUUCUGCUGUGCGUGCUGGGUGUGCCAGCAGGGGAGGUUCCCGCCAGCUGCCCAGCUUCACCUCCCCACACCCCAGCCCCGUAGCCCCAAAUUCAGGGGAUCCUGUCCUGUUCCACCAUGCUCCAGCUCUGUCCCAUGGAGGUUCUGAGAUGUCUUAAAAUAAUAGACUUCAUUAUUAUUCAGGCACGGUGAGGCCAGAGGAUCGGAAGGCUACUGUCUCAACAAGAUGGUUUGCCACGCUCACAGGUUCCAAGGGCAGGGGGCACCGUCUCUUCCUGGCUUGCAGUUGACUGCCCUUCUAGCUGUGUCCUCACGAGGGAGACAGAGUCAGAGACAGAGACACAGGGUGGGGGGCACUCUGGCGUGCUUUCCUCUUCCUACCAGGUCACUAAUCCCCACGUGAGGGCUCCACCCUCAUGACUUAAUCACCUCCCAAAGGCCCCACCUCCUAAUACAAUGGUACAUUGGGAGUCAGGGCUUCAACAUGUGAUUUGGGGGUUGAGGGGUGGGAGCACAUUCAGUCCACAGCACCCUACAAGAAAGGAACGCCCGCUCUCUUCUGCAAAGUACGUUUGCAAGAACCCCACCCUCUUAUGAGUCCCUUACCUCAAGACGGGUGAUGGGGUAAUUGUGCCACUCUAGACCUCUGCAUGUCUGAAGCUUCUCUUUAGAACAGGCAGACAUUUAUCACCUAGGCACUUUCCCACUGGGACCUCAAUCAAAGGGGAGAGAUGGGGGAAAUUCCCUUUAAAAAAAACCCCCAGCUUUAUUGAGGUAUAAGUAUUGAUAUACACAGAACUGCAUAUAUUUAAUGUAUACUAUUUGAUGACUUUGGACAAAUGCAAACACUGUGAUACCAUCACCACAAUCAAGGUAACGGUUGUUUUCAACACCUCCCAGGCUUUUCUUAUUCCCGCUUUUAACAUUCUUUUAUGCUCUCCUUUGAGAAGGUUUUUAUUUUUUUCAUUUUAAAAAUUAUUUAUUUAUCUUUGGCCAAACCGCGAGGCAUGCGGGAUCUUAGUUCCCCGACCAGUGAUCGAACCCGGGCCCCCUGCAGUGGAAGCACAGAGUCUUAACCACUGGACCGCCAGGGAAGUCCCGAGAAGGUUUGUGCACCUUCACAAAAAAUGACUCUCCAGCUCUCCGUAACUUUACAGAUAGGUUGGGUUUUUGCUUGUUUGUUGUGUUUUUGUUUUUGUUUUUUUGUGGUACGUGGGCCUCUCACUGUUGUGGCCUCUCCUGUUGCGGAGCACAGGCUCUGGACGCGCAGGCUCAGCGGUCAUGGUUCACGGGCGCAGCCGCUCCGCGGCAUGUGGGAUCUUCCCGGACCGGGGCACGAACCCGUGUCCCCUGCAUCGGCAGGUGGACUCUCAACCACUGCGCCACCAGGGAAGCCCAUUAGCUGUUAUUUUUUUAUCGAGAGGAAAUUCACAUCAAAUUAACCAUUUAAAAAUGCUGGAGAGGGUGUGGAGAAAAGGGAACCCUCCUACACUGUUGGUGGGAAUGUAAGUUGGUGCAGCCACUAUGGAGAACAGUAUGGAGAUUCCUUAAAAAGCUAAAAAUAGAAUUACCAUAUGAUCCAGCAAUCCCACUCUUGGGCAUAGAUCCAGAAAAGAUGAAAACUCUAAUUUGAAAAGAUACAUGCACCCAAUGUUCAUAGCAGCACUAUUUAUAAUAGCCAAGACAUGGAAGCAACCUAGGCAUCCAUGACAGAUGAAUGGAUAAAGACGACGUGGUACGUGCACGCGCGCGCGUGCAUGCGCGCACGCGCGCGCACACACACACACGUGCCACGGAAUACUCCUCGGCCACAGAAAAGAACGAAAUAAUGCCACUGGCAGCAACAAGGAUGGACCUACAGAUCAUCAUACUAAGUGAAGUAAGCCAGAGAAAGACAAAUAUUUUAUCACUUAUAUGUGGAAUCUAAGAAACAGUACAAACGAACUUAUUUACAAAACAAAUACAGACUCACAGACAUAGAAAACAAACUUCUGGUUACCAAAGGGGAAAGGAGAGGGAGAGGGAUAAAUUAGGAGUUUGAGAUGGACAGAAAUACACUACUAUAUAUAAAAUAGAUCAACAAGGACCUACCGUAUAGCACAGGAAACUAUAUUUUAUAUCCCGUAAUAAACCAUAAUGGAAAAGAAUCUGAAAAAGUAUAUAUAUGGAUAUAUAUAUAUGUCACUUUGCUGUACACCUGAAACUAAGAAAACAUUGUAAGUCAACU